AUACGGAGGAUUCAAGCGUUAUCCGGAUUUAUUGGGUUUAAAGGGUGCGUAGGCGGUUUGAUAAGUUAGAGGUGAAAUAUCGGGGCUUAACUCCGAAACUGCCUCUAAUACUGUUAGACUAGAGAAUAGUUGCGGUAGGCGGAAUGUAUGGUGUAGCGGUGAAAUGCUUAGAGAUCAUACAGAACACCGAUUGCGAAGGCAGCUUACCAAGCUGUAACUGACAUUGAGGCUCGAAAGUGUGGGUAUC
rnacentral:rRNA from 1 species